CAAGAUUCAGUGAAAGAAAGAGUAGUUAUAGGGCGUGCUUAAGAGAGGACCUGCCGUGGCUGAAAGCAGGGACAUGUAUUCUUUAUAAUGAAAGACAUUCUGGAGAAGAGUGUGUGCAAAGCCACUCCGUUCACGAGCGUUAAUCGUAAAAGAGGGGAUUUUUUCCCAAUUUAGGUGGUACCGCGUGUGCAUUGUCGCUCGUCCUUUGU
rnacentral:ncRNA from 1 species